rnacentral:tRNA from 2 species
GGUGUAGCUCAAUGGUAGAGCAGUAGUCUCCAAAACUACAGGUUGUAGGUUCAAGUCCUGCCACCUUUGCCA